UAGAGUUUGAUCCUGGCUCAGGACAAACGUUGGCGGUGCGUUUAAUGCAUGCAAGUUGAACGGUCAAUCUCAGACUUGUCUGAGUGAGAUAGUGGCAGACGGCUUAGUAACGCGUAGGUAACUUACCCUUAAGAGGGGGAUAAUUUCGAGAAAUCGGACCUAAUACCCCGUAAUUUUUAUUUGAUGUUGCAGAUAAAAGAAAGGCUAUCAGUUCGCUGGUAGUUGCUUUAGGAGAGGCCUGCGUCCUAUCAGGUAGUUGGUAAGGUAAAAGCUUACCAAGCCUAAGACGGGUAGCCGGUGUGAGAGCACGAUCGGCAAGAGGGGGACUGAGACACGGCCCCCACUCCUACGGGAGGCAGCAGCAGGGAAUCUUGCGCAAUGGGCGAAAGCCUGACGCAGCGACACCGCGUGGAGGAUGACGGCCUUCGGGUUGUAAACUC
rnacentral:rRNA from 1 species